UGUAUGGCUCAAUCUAAGAGAACUACUUUCAAGUAAGUCUUAAAUUGUGACUGAAUUAGAUCAAUUUAGCAAAUGAUUAGUUUUUCAAAAACAAAAAACAAGGAAACUUUAUCACAAAGGUCUUACUCAUAUUUUUUUUCAAAUACGUAGUAUAAAGAAUGUUAUUUGAACAACUUCCUGAUAUUUCCUGACAUCCUUAUACAGCAUCCUGAUCAAUAAUGAAAUGUUCACGUUUUCUUAAAAUCAUCGCACUAGAGUGAAUCUAAUAUUUGUUUUGAAAACUAAGCCGAGAAAAACGUAUCAAAACUAUGAAAAAACACACAUGCUACAUGUACUACUAGUACUUAUACCUCUUGACUUCUUGAUAAGGAAAACACGUGAAAUUCCUUUGUUUAACAUGUUUAAGUUAUGUCAACAAAGCGACAGAUGUCCCCUUAAAGCUUGAGAAGCUAGUCGUGAUAAAUGUGAAAGCAGAGUGAAGUGUUGGACACUGAUGUGCUUCUGUCUUCUUGGCAACACUUACCAAAAAUGGUCCCCAACAGACGACAUAAAGCGUCACUGAAGUCGCCAAGAACACAUUGACAUGAACGUCGUAAAAGCCAGUUACACGGUCUGCGUCCAGAAGUCU